AUUGAACGCUGGCGGCAUGCCUUACACAUGCAAGUCGAACGGUAACGGGCCUUCGGGUGCCGACGAGUGGCGAACGGGUGAGUAAUACAUCGGAACGUGCCCGAUCGUGGGGGAUAACGAGGCGAAAGCUUUGCUAAUACCGCAUACGAUCUACGGAUGAAAGCAGGGGACCGCAAGGCCUUGCGCGGACGGAGCGGCCGAUGGCAGAUUAGGUAGUUGGUGGGAUAAAAGUUUACCAAGCCGACGAUCUGUAGCUGGUCUGAGAGGAUGAUCAGCCACACUGGGAGUGAGACACGGCCCAGACUCCUACGGGAGGCAGCAGUGGGGAAUUUUGGGCAAUGGGCGCAAGCCUGAUCCAGCCAGGCCGCGUGCAGGAUGAAGGCCUUCGGGUUGUAAACUGCUUUUGUACGGAACGAAAAGCCUUCUUUUAAUACAGGAGGGUCAUGACGGUACCGUAAGAAUAAGCACCGGCUAACUACGUG
rnacentral:rRNA from 1 species